GACGAACGCUGGCGGCGUGCCUAAUACAUGCAAGUCGAACGAACUCUGGUAUUGAUUGGUGCUUGCAUCAUGAUCUACAUUUGAGUGAGUGGCGAACUGGUGAGUAACACGUGGGAAACCUGCCCAGAAGCGGGGGAUAACACCUGGAAACAGAUGCUAAUACCGCAUAACAACUUGGACCGCAUGGUCCGAGUUUGAAAGAUGGCUUCGGCUAUCACUUUUGGAUGGUCCCGCGGCGUAUUAGCUAGAUGGUGGGGUAACGGCUCACCAUGGCAAUGAUACGUAGCCGACCUGAGAGGGUAAUCGGCCACAUUGGGACUGAGACACGGCCCAAACUCCUACGGGAGGCAGCAGUAGGGAAUCUUCCACAAUGGACGAAAGUCUGAUGGAGCAACGCCGCGUGAGUGAAGAAGGGUUUCGGCUCGUAAAACUCUGUUGUUAAAGAAGAACAUAUCUGAGAGUAACUGUUCAGGUAUUGACGGUAUUUAACCAGAAAGCCACGGCUAACUACGUGCCAGCAGCCGCGGUAAUACGUAGGUGGCAAGCGUUGUCCGGAUUUAUUGGGCGUAAAGCGAGCGCAGGCGGUUUUUUAAGUCUGAUGUGAAAGCCUUCGGCUCAACCGAAGAAGUGCAUCGGAAACUGGGAAACUUGAGUGCAGAAGAGGACAGUGGAACUCCAUGUGUAGCGGUGAAAUGCGUAGAUAUAUGGAAGAACACCAGUGGCGAAGGCGGCUGUCUGGUCUGUAACUGACGCUGAGGCUCGAAAGUAUGGGUAGCAAACAGGAUUAGAUACCCUGGUAGUCCAUACCGUAAACGAUGAAUGCUAAGUGUUGGAGGGUUUCCGCCCUUCAGUGCUGCAGCUAACGCAUUAAGCAUUCCGCCUGGGGAGUACGGCCGCAAGGCUGAAACUCAAAGGAAUUGACGGGGGCCCGCACAAGCGGUGGAGCAUGUGGUUUAAUUCGAAGCUACGCGAAGAACCUUACCAGGUCUUGACAUACUAUGCAAAUCUAAGAGAUUAGACGUUCCCUUCGGGGACAUGGAUACAGGUGGUGCAUGGUUGUCGUCAGCUCGUGUCGUGAGAUGUUGGGUUAAGUCCCGCAACGAGCGCAACCCUUAUUAUCAGUUGCCAGCAUUAAGUUGGGCACUCUGGUGAGACUGCCGGUGACAAACCGGAGGAAGGUGGGGAUGACGUCAAAUCAUCAUGCCCCUUAUGACCUGGGCUACACACGUGCUACAAUGGAUGGUACAACGAGUUGCGAACUCGCGAGAGUAAGCUAAUCUCUUAAAGCCAUUCUCAGUUCGGAUUGUAGGCUGCAACUCGCCUACAUGAAGUCGGAAUCGCUAGUAAUCGCGGAUCAGCAUGCCGCGGUGAGUACGUUCCCGGGCCUUGUACACACCGCCCGUCACACCAUGAGAGUUUGUAACACCCAAAGUCGGUGGGGUAACCUUUUAGGAACCAGCCGCCUAAGGUGGGACAGAUGAUUAGGGUG
rnacentral:rRNA from 1 species